rnacentral:rRNA from 1 species
AGUGAACGCUGGCGGUAGGCCUAACACAUGCAAGUCGAACGGCAGCACAGUAAGAGCUUGCUCUUACGGGUGGCGAGUGGCGGACGGGUGAGGAAUACAUCGGAAUCUACUUUUUCGUGGGGGAUAACGUAGGGAAACUUACGCUAAUACCGCAUACGUCCUACGGGUGAAAGCAGGGGAUCUUCGGACCUUGCGCGAUUGAAUGAGCCGAUGUCGGAUUAGCUAGUUGGCGGGGUAAAGGCCCACCAAGGCGACGAUCCGUAGCUGGUCUGAGAGUAUGAUCAGCCACACUGGAACUGAGACACGGUCCAGACUCCUACGGGAGGCAGCAGUGGGGAAUAUUGGACAAUGGGCGCAAGCCUGAUCCAGCCAUACCGCGUGGGUGAAGAAGGCCUUCGGGUUGUAAAGCCCUUUUGUUGGGAAAGAAAAGCAGCAGGUUAAUACCCCGCUGUUCUGACGGUACCCAAAGAAUAAGCACCGGCUAACUUCGUG